GUAGGUGAACCUGCGGAAGGAUCAUUAUUAUUUGUUUUGUGAGGUUGGUAUCCAAGAGGGGUUGAUUUGUUUGGAGAGUGUGUGUUUUUGGACUGUGAAAAGCCCUAGUUGAAAAAGAAAAAACUGAACGAAAACCAAAAUGAAAAAGAAAAAAAGCUAAGAAAAAACAACUCUAGGCAGUGGAUAUCUUGGCUCCCGCAUCGAUGAAGAACGCAGCAUCUGACUGACUGGAGAAUGUGAUAUCUCGUAU
rnacentral:misc_RNA from 1 species